UACAGAGGCCCCAAGCGUUACUGAGAAUCACUGGGUUUAAAGGGUGCGUAGGUGGUCCGUUAAGUCAGUUGUGAAAUCCCCGGGCUCAACCCGGGAACUGCUUCUGAUACUGGCGGACUUGAGGCCGGUAGGGGUCACUGGAACAGACGGUGGAGCGGUGAAAUGCGUAGAUAUCGUCUGGAACGCCGGUGGUGAAGACGGGUGACUGGGCCGGUUCUGACACUGAGGCACGAAAGCGUGGGGAGCAAAC
rnacentral:rRNA from 1 species